UUGACCUCGGAUCAGGUAGGGAUACCCGCUGAA
rnacentral:rRNA from 15 species